GGCCUCGUAGCUUAACUGGUAGAGUGUGCCCUGUACAUGAGCGUAGGCGGCGUCCAUGCGUGAGUUCGAAUCCCACCAGGGCUG
rnacentral:tRNA from 1 species